AACGAACGCUGGCGGCAGGCCUAACACAUGCAAGUCGAACGCUGCAGCAAUGCAGAGUGGCAGACGGGUGAGUAACGCGUGGGAACCUUCCCAGUGGUACGGAAUAGCCCAGGGAAACUUGGGGUAAUACCGUAUAAGCCCCUAGGGGGAAAGAUUUAUCGCCAUUGGAUGGGCCCGCGUCGGAUUAGCUAGUUGGUGAGGUAACGGCUCACCAAGGCAACGAUCCGUAGCUGGUUUGAGAGAAUGACCAGCCACACUGGGACUGAGACACGGCCCAGACUCCUACGGGAGGCAGCAGUGGGGAAUAUUGCGCAAUGGGCGUAAGCCUGACGCAGCGACGCCGCGUGGGGGAUGAAGGCCUUCGGUU
rnacentral:rRNA from 1 species